GGGUCCUCACAGUCCCUUCCGUUGUGGCUCUCUCUCCAACCCUGGACCGGGUAUUUCCGGGGCUCCAGGACUGCCGCUCGUCCGGCGUGCUGCCACCCUUUCAGGAAUCGCCCGGGAGGGCAUCCCACCCGACUUUCCGUCAGGCUUCCGCGGCCGGCGCUCCCUCAGUGACGGAAUGAAGGGGGUGGGCAUUCUGGCUCGGGAGGACCCCGCCGCGGCCCCGGAAGCGCCUCGUCCCGGGCAGUGUUGGCGGCGGUCGCCGUGAUGUUUGCGGGGUUGGGCGGCUGACCGCCGGGAUAGGAGCGGCCCCAGUGCCCCAGAUCUCGGUGGCCGCUGCUGGAGCGCGGCUUGCGCCAUGGCCACCUCUGCCGCCUCCUCAGAGCAUUUCGAGAAACUUCACGAGAUCUUCCGCGGCCUCCAUGAAGACCUGCGAGGGGUGCCGGAGCGGCUCCUGGGGACGGCAGGGACAGAAGAGAAGAAGAAGCUGAUCAGAGAUUUUGAUGAAAAGCAACAGGAAGCAAAUGAAACGCUGGCAGAGAUGGAAGAGGAACUACGUUAUGCACCUCUAUCUUUCCGUAAUCCUAUGAUGUCUAAGCUUCGGACAUACCGGAAGGACCUUGCCAAACUCCAUCGGGAAGUGAGAAGCACACCUUUGACAGCCACACCUGGGGGCCGAGGAGACAUGAAAUAUGGCUCAUAUGCUGUAGAGAAUGAGCAUAUGAACCGGCUACAGUCUCAAAGGGCAUUGCUUCUGCAAGGCACGGACAGUCUGAACCGGGCCACCCAGAGUAUUGAGCGUUCUCAUCGGAUUGCCACAGAGACUGACCAGAUUGGCUCAGAAAUCAUAGAAGAGCUGGGGGAACAACGUGACCAGUUGGAGCGUACUAAGAGUAGGCUGGUAAACACAAGUGAAAACUUGAGCAAAAGUCGAAAGAUUCUGCGUUCAAUGUCCAGAAAAGUGACAACCAAUAAGCUGCUACUUUCCAUUGUCAUCUUACUGGAGCUGGCCAUCCUAGGGGGCCUGGUUUACUACAAAUUCUUUCACAAGCAUUGAACUUCCUAGAGGGAAGGGUUUGUGGACCAGAACUUUGACCCUGUGAAUGGUCUUAGAGAUGGGGAAGAAGCAUAGUGCUGCUGUGAGUCUUAUCCCUGCAGGUCUGAGCUGAGGGAAGAGUUGGCCAUACUUUAAUUUGGACUUACCUUCUGUGAUGGUUUAAGAACUUCUACUAAAGGGCUUGAGAAGGGAAGAUUAGACCAGAAGAACCUAUCCAGACCUGCCUUCUACUCCCCACCUCCAACACACAAGCUGAGAAUCCCUCUUGAUUUCUCCCUGUUAAGAGCAAGUCAGACCUUUUCCAAAAAACCGACAAGAUGGCAGAAACGCAGCAGCAGCAGCAGUGAACCUUCCACAGGGUCACCUGCAGCACACGCCUAGACCAGCUGCUGGCCACGUCCUCUGAGUAGCUGACACAGCGGCGGUAGUGGCCGCAGCACCUGCAGAGCCAGCCAGGAGGCACCGCCCAGAGAAGCCAGAGAUGGUGAAUACACACACGCGGGGCAGCAACAUCCAGCCCGAGAUGGUGGGCAGCAUGGUGGGCCUCUGCGACAGCAAGACCUUCAUCCAGGUGGAUCACAGGCCCAAGAUGAUCAGCCACUACCUGAGCGAGUUCUCCGCCACGGAACAAACCCAUGAAUGUGACUGGCCCACCAUCUGGGCCACCCACUCCUCCUCCCCCUCAAGUAGCCUGUUUGGUCAAUAAAAGCAUAGACUUCUCUUAAAAAAAAAAAAAAACU